UCCGCCGAAAGGUUUUUCUCUCCUUUGCGUUUUCUCCCCGACGGCGAUGGGCCUUCGCGUCCUGCAUGCCAGCCUUCUCCUUCACAUUUUCCCCCAGAUGCUAGUCUUCUCAUUUUUCCUCGAUGCAAAGUCUUCGCGUUGAGAUGCCUUCACUUCCUCUCCUCUCUGCACUCGAGGUUUCUUCCCCUCGACCCCCUUCUUUCCUUUCCUCUCUACUUCACCGCCGCCUAACUGGUAUCAUCGUGGCCUGAGGAACCUGCCUCUUUCUGCCGCCAACCCCUGGAGCAUUGAAUUCGAGGGUGUUCAUCUGUUAUUCCAUUUACAAAGCAAAGGCAACACUCACAAUGGAUCAACGAGGCCCUGAAUUUGCCCCUCUUGAAUCUGGAGCUUACAAAGUCUCUAAGGAAGGAUUAGUCUCUUCCAAUUUGCUCUAUUGUAGGUACUUGACAAUAUCAUUGCAGUAGGACUUCACAGAUUUCUUUUUAAAUCAUUCUCAAUUAACCCGUGUUGAAAUUUAGUUCAAUGAUUUUGGGAGAUUGAUCUUUCAUUAUCGAGUUAAUGAUGAAAUUAAGCCUGUAUGCUACAAAUAUUAUAGUCAAUGAUGGUCCAUUAUGAUUA